GACGAACGCUGGCGGCGUGCUUAACACAUGCAAGUCGAACGGAAAGGCCCUGCUUUUGUGGGGUGCUCGAGUGGCGAACGGGUGAGUAACACGUGAGUAACCUGCCCUUGACUUUGGGAUAACUUCAGGAAACUGGGGCUAAUACCGGAUAGGAGCUCCUGCUGCAUGGUGGGGGUUGGAAAGUUUCGGCGGUUGGGGGUGGACUCGCGGCUUAUCAGCUUGUUGGUGGGGUAGUGGCUUACCAAGGCUUUGACGGGUAGCCGGCCUGAGAGGGUGACCGGCCACAUUGGGACUGAGACACGGCCCAGACUCCUACGGGAGGCAGCAGUGGGGAAUAUUGCACAAUGGGCGGAAGCCUGAUGCAGCAACGCCGCGUGCGGGAUGACGGCCUUCGGGUUGUAAACCGCUUUCGCCUGUGACGAAGCGUGAGUGACGGUAAUGGGUAAAGAAGCACCGGCUAACUACGUG
rnacentral:rRNA from 1 species